CAGACCAACCAAUAAAUAUAACAGCCUUACUAACGGCUAACCAGAACUAUUUUAAUUACCCUGCACAAAGACAUCAGUGUGACAGCGAUCGUUUAGCCUUCUAACGGCUAACCAGAACUAACUUGACUAACUAAACUUUUAACUAUCAACAAGAUACCUCGUACAAAGACAUCAGUGCACGAAGGCUCGUUAACAAGACCCAGCUACAGAAGCAACAGCCUAGUGACAGCAACGUAAGCCAAGAAGCCUCUGCAGCUCACACACAUACCCCGCACACGCUUACA